rnacentral:misc_RNA from 1 species
UCUACUUGUUCAGGAGGAAUUGAAUUUCUGGCCUGAGAAAAACGUUCGUCAAAGAAAAUGGAUGAGUGUGUCAGAUGCGAAGGAAUGCUGUCAACAUUGGUGGAUGAAGGAAGCCUUAGAUAGAUUAGUUAAUCGACUCAGGUCUCAGCAACAACUUGAACAGGAGGAAGUGGUAUCUUGUAGUUUAAGCUACCAGAGCAAAUCCAACUUGUAAAUAGGCAAAAUUGUUAAGAACACGGCCUUAGGGGG